ensembl:misc_RNA
AAUAAAGCCCUGGAAAGUGAAGUCCUUUUUCUGUCCAUUAACCAGGCACAGAGUGAAUGGGAAAGCACAAGCUUCACCAGCAAGGCUGCGUGCUGCCCUCCAAAUACGCCUGAAACGAGACCUGGGUAUGCCCUCUCCCAUGUGACAGGACAGUUUUGUUUCCUUGUCCAUUAAUUUCUUGACGUCU